AGCAAACAUUCCCAUAUCGGGCCGAUAUCGGCUACAUGUCGGAAUAUAGAUGUCGGUUACCGAUAUCGGGCCGAUAUCGGGCCGAUAUAUAUAAUUGCACUGUGAAGUAUUUUUUCCAACUAUUGAGUAUUCAAUGGAUUAUUAAUGUUAAUCCAUUUAGUAUUUCAUAUUGUAAACAUAUUACAAAGUGUGCCAGUCGAUAGAUCAAAAUUUAAUCGAUUUCGUUUGCGAUUUGCACAAUAGCGUAUUUUACCGCCGCACCGUUCAUCCGGGUCUUUUAAAGUCUGGCGCGAUUUGGAAUCCAACGGCGAAACAAGAGAUCUGAAAAAAAUCAACCUUUUAUCUGGCUUCCUGCAAGACUGUACUCGUCAUCUGAGGAUGAGCCAGAGGUGCCAAUAUCCCCAGCAUCCCCGUGUCAGAAUAACAUGUGCAGCCUUCCACAGAGGUCAUCCCCAUUGAAGGCUGGCUGCUUUGAAACAAGUCUGGCUGGGUCCCACUCCCAGCAACCUGUUCCUGCCACUGUACAUACAAGUACAGCGCCUGCCAUGAGUACGAGUACCCCUUCUGUGAGAGACUGCGCGUCAGCUACCAGUACCAGUGUUACCGGGACUCCACGUUCUGGAGUGGCCCGGGAUAUCAUAAUGUUUACACUAAUGGAAGCCAUGUCCAGACGUCGGGUUGAGCUCCUGGAAACCAUGAACCAGGUGCUGGGCAUUGUUUCGAAGAUGGCCACGGUGGGGGUGUUAGGUUGUCAGAGAAACCCGAAAACCUCAACUUACCUGCAUCCACCAGCGAGGAGCUAGAGGCCCUUGAGGCGGAACUAGAGGAGGGAGAAUGUUUUAAUGGCUUGGUUUCGUAUCUAUCAGCGCAAGGCGGGGUCUUUAAGGCAGACAUGUUGAGGCGAUAAUGAGGCAAUUCUUGACAAACCAGUUGGCAGUCCAGUUCAACUGGUUUGGAAAGAAGGGGAAAAGAACCUUUGGAAAACUCAAGCUGGCCCAGGCAGUGACAAAAGCAGUUAUGAAGUGCAAGAAGUGCACAGCAGUCGAGGUGGAACUUUAACUAGGAUGGCGAGUGACAGGGACAGGGGCGUAAGAAGCGCAAAAGACCACCAUCCAUGGGUGAAAGUUUUCAGGCUUAAUCCUGAUUUGACACAUAGAAAAUUCAAUAUUUUUCUUGUUAGUUUCUUUUGAAACUGCUUGUCUAAAUGCUGUUUAGGAUUUUCAAAAUUUUCCACUUUCAUCCAUCUUUCACACAUCUGAAAUGACGCAAAAUUAAACAACUCUCUAAAUGACUUUGGGGAUUAACAUUUGCAAUCACCUUUUUUUGUUUUUUUGCUAGCAGAAUACUCUUCUAGUAUUGUACAUUUUUUUGGCUAUAUAAAAACAAGUUGAUCAGUCUACACAUAUCAAUUCACAUAUGUAUGUGCAAUUUUUUUUUAUAUGAUUUUUGUUAUAAUGCUAGAUCUCAAAACAAAGCUUUAUUUGUUAAUUGGUAUUGUUUCAGUAUAAAGUUUGUGUUCUCCUUUGUUAAUUAACUUUUGUAGGAUAGACAUUUAAUGUUUUUGUUGUGUAUAACCUAUUUUUUUAUUGUGUAUGGUUAUCAAUAUUGAAUUCAUACAUAAAUCUUAUAUGAUUUUUACUGUACCUCAAUCAUAUUAUUUUAUUAUCAGUAAUAUAUUAUUCAAAUACUCUAGUCAUUUACAUAAAUUUGUUGUUUUCUAACCAUGCAUAAUUGUUAAACUAAAUCAUGUAAAUAGCCUUAGUUCUGUGAUUUUACAUAUUUAAUGAUGUGUUUUUCAUGUUUGCAUAAUACAUGUACAUUUUCAUUUACUUUUGUUUAAACUUUUAUUUACUGUAUUGUUUUUGUUGUCAGUUGUGUAUGAAUCUAUUAAACAUUUAGUGAUAGCUAAUAGUCUGGAAAGAGAUUUGCAUAUCUUUAUUUCAAUUUAAAAACUGCAGGUUAUUUUAAGGUUGUUUAUUGCUAUUGUGAUUUUCAAAUAUGUGAAUAUGGUUGUGAUGUGCUGCAAUCCAAGUCGUUUUUGUAGAAAGUUGUUACAGUAUUACCUAGUCAUUUUAUGUUGGUAAAGAUGUAUAUCUGCAUUUAUAUUUUUGUGUUGUUUUUAUCAGAAACAUGAGUUCCUUCUAGUCAGAAACAAUGUGUUGCAAAAUAAGCCCUAUUAUAGUUCUCUUAUAUUUUGUUUUGUUUUUUUGUAUUGUGACUUGGG